rnacentral:rRNA from 1 species
AGCAGCCGCGGUAAUUCCAGCUCCAAUAGCGUAUAUUAAAGUUGUUGCAGUUAAAAAGCUCGUAGUUGAAUUUCGGGGAUCAAUUUAUUGGUCGUGCUAUUGUACGUACUGGUAUUAUUGAUUCCUACCUUCUGACGAACCAUGAUGUCAUUAAUUUGGUGUCAUGGGGAAUCAGGACUGUUACUUUAGAAAAAUUAGAGUGUUUAAAGCAGGCUCACGCUUGAAUACAUUAGCAUGGAAUAACGAAAUAGGACGUUUGAUUCUAUUUUGUUGGUUUCUAGGAUCGACGUAAUGAUUAAUAGGGAUAGUUGGGGGCAUUAGUAUUCAAUUGUCAGAGGUGAAAUUCUUGGAUUUAUUGAAGACUAACUACUGCGAAAGCAUUUGCCAAGGAUGUUUUCAUUAAUCAAGAACGAAAGUUAGAGGAUCGAAGGCGAUUAGAUACCGCCUAGUUCUAACCAUAAAC